rnacentral:rRNA from 1 species
UGUGAGCUCGAUGAGUAGGGCGGGACACGUGGUAUCCUGUCUGAAUAUGGGGGGACCAUCCUCCAAGGCUAAAUACUCCUGACUGACCGAUAGUGAACCAGUACCGUGAGGGAAAGGCGAAAAGAACCCCGGCGAGGGGAGUGAAAAAGAACCUGAAACCGUGUACGUACAAGCAGUGGGAGCACGCUUCGGCGUGUGACUGCGUACCUUUUGUAUAAUGGGUCAGCGACUUAUAUUCUGUAGCAAGGUUAACCGAAUAGGGGAGCCGAAGGGAAACCGAGUCUUAACUGGGCGUUAAGUUGCAGGGUAUAGACCCGAAACCCGGUGAUCUAGCCAUGGGCAGGUUGAAGGUUGGGUAACACUAACUGGAGGACCGAACCGACUAAUGUUGAAAAAUUAGCGGAUGACUUGUGGCUGGGGGUGAAAGGCCAAUCAAACCGGGAGAUAGCUGGUUCUCCCCGAAAGCUAUUUAGGUAGCGCCUCGUGAAUUCAUCUCCGGGGGUAGAGCACUGUUUCGGCAAGGGGGUCAUCCCGACUUACCAACCCGAUGCAAACUGCGAAUACCGGAGAAUGUUAUCACGGGAGACACACGGCGGGUGCUAACGUCCGUCGUGAAGAGGGAAACAACCCAGACCGCCAGCUAAGGUCCCAAAGUCAUGGUUAAGUGGGAAACGAUGUGGGAAGGCCCAGACAGCCAGGAUGUUGGCUUAGAAGCAGCCAUCAUUUAAAGAAAGCGUAAUAGCUCACUGGUCGAGUCGGCCUGCGCGGAAGAUGUAACGGGGCUAAACCAUGCACCGAAGCUGCGGCAGCGACGCUUAUGCGUUGUUGGGUAGGGGAGCGUUCUGUAAGCCUGCGAAGGUGUGCUGUGAGGCAUGCUGGAGGUAUCAGAAGUGCGAAUGCUGACAUAAGUAACGAUAAAGCGGGUGAAAAGCCCGCUCGCCGGAAGACCAAGGGUUCCUGUCCAACGUUAAUCGGGGCAGGGUGAGUCGACCCCUAAGGCGAGGCCGAAAGGCGUAGUCGAUGGGAAACAGGUUAAUAUUCCUGUACUUGGUGUUACUGCGAAGGGGGGACGGAGAAGGCUAUGUUGGCCGGGCGACGGUUGUCCCGGUUUAAGCGUGUAGGCUGGUUUUCCAGGCAAAUCCGGAAAAUCAAGGCUGAGGCGUGAUGACGAGGCACUACGGUGCUGAAGCAACAAAUGCCCUGCUUCCAGGAAAAGCCUCUAAGCAUCAGGUAACAUCAAAUCGUACCCCAAACCGACACAGGUGGUCAGGUAGAGAAUACCAAGGCGCUUGAGAGAACUCGGGUGAAGGAACUAGGCAAAAUGGUGCCGUAACUUCGGGAGAAGGCACGCUGAUAUGUAGGUGAAGUCCCUCGCGGAUGGAGCUGAAAUCAGUCGAAGAUACCAGCUGGCUGCAACUGUUUAUUAAAAACACAGCACUGUGCAAACACGAAAGUGGACGUAUACGGUGUGACGCCUGCCCGGUGCCGGAAGGUUAAUUGAUGGGGUCAGCGCAAGCGAAGCUCUUGAUCGAAGCCCCGGUAAACGGCGGCCGUAACUAUAACGGUCCUAAGGUAGCGAAAUUCCUUGUCGGGUAAGUUCCGACCUGCACGAAUGGCGUAAUGAUGGCCAGGCUGUCUCCACCCGAGACUCAGUGAAAUUGAACUCGCUGUGAAGAUGCAGUGUACCCGCGGCAAGACGGAAAGACCCCGUGAACCUUUACUAUAGCUUGACACUGAACAUUGAGCCUUGAUGUGUAGGAUAGGUGGGAGGCUUUGAAGUGUGGACGCCAGUCUGCAUGGAGCCGACCUUGAAAUACCACCCUUUAAUGUUUGAUGUUCUAACGUUGACCCGUAAUCCGGGUUGCGGACAGUGUCUGGUGGGUAGUUUGACUGGGGCGGUCUCCUCCUAAAGAGUAACGGAGGAGCACGAAGGUUGGCUAAUCCUGGUCGGACAUCAGGAGGUUAGUGCAAUGGCAUAAGCCAGCUUGACUGCGAGCGUGACGGCGCGAGCAGGUGCGAAAGCAGGUCAUAGUGAUCCGGUGGUUCUGAAUGGAAGGGCCAUCGCUCAACGGAUAAAAGGUACUCCGGGGAUAACAGGCUGAUACCGCCCAAGAGUUCAUAUCGACGGCGGUGUUUGGCACCUCGAUGUCGGCUCAUCACAUCCUGGGGCUGAAGUAGGUCCCAAGGGUAUGGCUGUUCGCCAUUUAAAGUGGUACGCGAGCUGGGUUUAGAACGUCGUGAGACAGUUCGGUCCCUAUCUGCCGUGGGCGCUGGAGAACUGAGGGGGGCUGCUCCUAGUACGAGAGGACCGGAGUGGACGCAUCACUGGUGUUCGGGUUGUCAUGCCAAUGGCACUGCCCGGUAGCUAAAUGCGGAAGAGAUAAGUGCUGAAAGCAUCUAAGCACGAAACUUGCCCCGAGAUGAGUUCUCCCUGACUCCUUGA